rnacentral:rRNA from 1 species
AUGGGUCGUGAGUGGGAACUUAGUUUCCGUCUGGGUAUGCGUCCUUGGAUUGCUGUAGCAUAUUCAGCUCCCAUUGCAGCUGCUACUGCUGUUUUCUUGAUUUACCCUAUUGGUCAAGGAAGCUUUUCUGAUGGUAUGCCUUUAGGAAUCUCUGGUACUUUCAACUUUAUGAUUGUAUUCCAGGCAGAGCACAACAUCCUUAUGCAUCCAUUCCACAUGUUAGGUGUAGCUGGUGUAUUCGGCGGUUCCCUAUUCAGUGCUAUGCAUGGUUCCUUGGUAACCUCUAGUUUGAUCAGGGAAACUACUGAAAAUGAAUCUGCUAAUGAGGGUUACAAAUUUGGUCAAGAUGAAGAAACUUAUAAUAUUGUGGCUGCUCAUGGUUAUUUUGGCCGAUUAAUCUUCCAAUAUGCUAGUUUCAACAACUCUCGUUCUUUACACUUCUUCUUGGCUGCUUGGCCUGUAGUAGGAAUCUGGUUCACUGCUUUAGGUAUUAGUACUAUGGCUUUCAACCUAAAUGGUUUCAAUUUCAACCAAUUUGUAGUUGAUAGUCAAGGUCGCGUUAUUAAUACUUGGGCUGAUAUCAUCAACCGUGCUAACCUUGGUAUGGAAGUAAUGCACGAACGUAACGCUCACAACUUCCCUCUAGACUUAGCUGCUAUUGAAGUUCCAUCUAUUAAUGGAUAA